GAGGUGGAGAAGAUGAGGAGUCAGUUCUCAGGGUUCAGACCUGGUCUGCUGGUUCUGCAGGUGGGCGACAGAGACGACUCUAAUCUGUACAUCAGCUCCAAACUGAAGGCUGCAGCCGAGAUCGGAAUCGAUGCGAGACACGUGCGGCUGCCGAACACGGCGACACAAGACGUGA